rnacentral:lncRNA from 1 species
AGCCUUGACGCUUCAAUGCAGUGAGAUUCUCCAAGUCUGAUAUGGAAUUUGGCAGCUUCUCAAGAGCUCGAUUAUCACAAUCAGAAACAUUAAGUUCAUGCAUGUGCUCAAAGAAUGAGCGCAUCUUUCUUAAACAUUUUCAUUCAACAGGGCAAGUUGAAAGUCUAGGGUCCCUCGUUGAGGCGGCCAUGUGCAAUUUCUUCUAUACAAUUAUCAAUUCAAGGACACUAAAAUAAAUCCAAUCUUCAGUCCAUUCCCACUCAGCGGUAUGGUCCUCCAAUCCACACGCAGCUUUUUUACCAUGAACGAGAUGACCUCUUUUGUGAUCUUUAGUGCCAUGUUCCCGAUCAACAUCAUUUCACCUAUCUACGAAUCUAACUCUUACAACUUUCCAGUAAGCAGACCUUCAGUGUAUUCAACAUACUGUGGCCCUCAUUCCAAACUUGGCUUGCCAGGCUUUCCUUCGUCAAUUAGGCCUUCGUAAAUAAAGACCUAAUUAAUUCUUCCUAUAAAUUUCUUCAUCUUCAGGAUACACGCGCAAUACAAGAAACAAAGCUUCCAACUUCAUCUCCUUCAGCGACUGUAGCUAAAUUCCAAUAUUGGGUAUACCUCAUUUCCAUGUUCCUGCUCCAUUGUAAGUUCUUCUCAAGUUUUCAACACAUUCCUCCAUUCUGAAUGUCAUAAACCUCUCUCAUGUUCCAGCCAUGUAAUAAUGGCCAGUGGCAAACCAGCACACUUGCUGCUACUGCAUUGCAAUGUCUCUUACUUCAAGGAGAAAGUUCUGUUUGCUGCCCAAGGUUUCUUCAAAUAAUUCCAAGCUCUUUCUCAUAAAGAAGUUGCACUUUGAAUUUACUGGCAAGCCUAUCCCGACGGCAUACUCACCUGAGCGAGUUGGUCAGAACCAACUUACAAGUCUUAUUUCCAUUCACUUUAUCGAGGAAUUCCACUUUUCUAGAGCCCUCUCUCCCAUACAUCAUCCAAAAUGAGUACACAUUUUCCCUGUCAAUGCUCGUGACAUUUUGCUGCCCUUUUCUCUCAUCACUCAUUGAGAAAUCCAAUUCCAAAUUUUUGGCAUGUCAUUCUGCAACUUACGCGAUGCUACUUUCUUGUAUACAGUACUCCAAUGGAUAUAACCAAACUUCUCCUCAUCUCGUACAAGUGCUGUUUAGAUAUGCAAUACGAAACCGUAGCUCGAACCAAAACAAAGGAGCACGGGUUGUUUUGCCAACUCCCCUAUUCCAUGUACCCAAUGCACCAGACUUCAUCAUCAUUACGUACUUAAAAAGUUCAUCUACCUUUCGCUUAGAUGUUGAACUUGUAACUCCUGGGGCCAAUAGUGGUUUACUGUGGUCCUCACAUGUGGCCAAGUAGAAGCCCCCCUGGAAACUCCACCUUCCUUGUUGAAGUUCCUCAAUUUUCUUUAAAUAAUUUUCAAUACGAUUUUCCCCAUAUAGUGAAGAUCUUUGCUUUCCUUGAAUUUCUUCUAGUUUUUUGGACUUUAUUUUUCAUCAUCUCCACCUCUCCACAUUGUCAACUACACGCUUCGUCUUUCCUGAGCUGAUUCUUCAGCUUCUACUGUCUCUUUUCACGUCAUCUUCUCGGCCACUCAUGUUUUCAAGUUUUUUUGUUUCUUUCGGAGUAUUUGCAUCUUUUCAUCCUGGCACUUAAAUAUUUAUUUCUGCACAAUAUCCCAAGCAUUUUCUCUGCCAUCACACUGCCUGAUACCAAAAAAGCAAAACCAAGAACAAAGGUUUCAAAUACCAAUCAAAGAUGUACACUCAACACCAAUAUCAAUCAUUGAAGGAAAAUGUCUAUGGUCCAAAAAGCUCUACAACUCAUUUGUAGACACUUAUUCUUCAUAUUAAACAGAGUCCAGGUGGUUUUCCUGCUUUUGUUUUCGGUUUUCCUGAGUUUUUUUAGGGUGCUUACGAAGUGGUAUUGCAUAUUUGAAGUUUUUGUAGUGAUAUAGAAAUAGAGGACAUAAUAAAGACAAAUAUCAUAAGAUAUGAAGUUUAAAAUAGCUAAUCGAUUGUUUGGUUUCUAUUGUCAUUUCUUUUUUCCUCGGUAAAUGCCUCCAUAAAACUAUGAUCCAAACACUGUCUUAACCUAUAUGAAAUGAGGACACUACAGAAGCCGCAAAUGAAUGGACCGGAAUCUAUACUCUAUAUUAAUUGCAGGAACAUUUUAUUCCCGAGAGUAUUAAUCUAACUUCAUCAAUUGUUAAUUUUUAAAAUCAGGAAUACACGUGACAUGAAAGUAUAAAAGGUAUUCUAAUUUUGAUCGCAAUCGUUAAAUAAAAGUCUGAAAUAAAAUCUUAUCAAUAUCAUUUUGAAUAUCCGUGAAUGGAAUUUUGUAUAUACUAAAUAUUUGGUAUCAUUGCCAAAUUUAUGACAUGUGCCCUCACAAUUCAAAAUCUUUUAACAACACAAAAAUAGAUUGAAAAAUCAAAGCCAUAACGGUGUAUUUUGCAUACUUAAAUGACAAAAUGAAAUCAAAAAUU